rnacentral:snRNA from 1 species
AGGCAUUUUUAGGAUAUAAAUA